CCUACGGGUGGCUGCAGUGGGGAAUAUUGCACAAUGGGGGGAACCCUGAUGCAGCGACGCCGCGUGAGUGAAGAAGUAUCUCGGUACGUAAAGCUCUAUCAUCAGGGAAGAAAAAGACGGUACCUAACUAACAAGCCCCGGCUAACUACGUGCCAGCAGCCGCGGUAAUACGUAGGGGGCAAGCGUUCUCCGGAGUUACUGGGUGUAAAGGGAGCGGAGACGGCACUGCAAGUCCGGAGUGAAAGCCAAAGGCUUAACCAUGGGGCUGCUCUGGAAACUGUGGGGCUUGAGUGCAGGAGGGGCAGGCGGAAUUCCUGGUGGAGCGGUGAAAUGCGUAGAUAUUAGGAGGAACACCGGCGGCGAAGGCGGCCUGCUGGACCGUAACUGACGUUGAGGCUCGAAAGCGUGGGGAGCAAACAGGAUUAGAUACCCCAGUAGUC
rnacentral:rRNA from 1 species